rnacentral:rRNA from 1 species
AUUGAACGCUGGCGGCAGGCCUAACACAUGCAAGUCGAACAAGUGGCUGACUGGUGAGUAAUGUCUGGGAAACUGCCCGAUGGAGGGGGAUAACUACUGGCAACAGUAGAUAAUACCGCAUACCAUCGGAUGUGCCCAGAUGGGAUUAGCUAGUAGGUGUGGUAACGGCUCACCUAGGCGACGAUCCCUAGCUGGUCUGAGAGGAUGACCGGCCACACUGGAACGGAGACACGGUCCAGACGCUUACGGGAGGCAGCAGUGGUGAAGAUUGCACAAUGGGCGCAAGCCUGAUGCAGCCAUGCCGCGUGUAUGAAGAAGGCCUUCGUGUUGUAAAGUACUUUCAGCGAGGAGGCGUUACUCGCAGAAGAAGCACCGGCUAACUCCGUGCCAGCAGCCGCGGUAAUAC